GUAGCAAGGGAAAAGAACGAUCAUCAAUAGCAAUAGUGAUAUGGUACACUUUCUUCUCCCAAUAUUCAAGGGCUCAAUACAGGGAAGGUUGAUGAAACCAAAGGAAAUGCAAUGUAUUCAACUUCUUCCUCCAAAAACCAAACUUCAACACCGAUUCUCAACCUCUAGAAAAAAAGAAAACGGAAACCUCAAAGCUACUAGAAAACAAAACUCUCCAUGCCUUCAUCCUCUCACUACGCUUUCUACAUCUAAGAAGAAAAUAAACGCAGGUUCCCCACGAAUCUAACCUUGCAUCAUCUAACACAGAUCGACACUGAGCAAAUGAAACCUACAACAAUCAGACCCAACUAGAUCCCCCACAAAACCAACGCGAAAUAACCGGUAUUGAGAGCUCUCGAACUAAAAAAGGUUUUCAACACAGGCAAAAACCUCUAGGGUCUAAAAAGGGGGCGAGCUGUAACUCAAAAAUUCGCUUGAAUCGGCAAACAGGGUACCGACAACGCAAACAAAUCAAAAACCAAGAAAAUCAAUAAAGCAAAAAAAAGGAUUUUCGACCUUCUUGGAGGUUCGAAGGAAAAAAAGAAAGAGAGAAGAUUUUACCACUGCCUUACGAUUUCGGAGAUAUGCCGACGGAAAAGUGUAUCCCGACUAGGGUUUGGGGAUCAAAAGAGGUCUCUGCCAAGGCCUUUCUGUGCUCAGAAAUUGGAGUGGUCUUUUUGGUGUAUGGUUCGAAAAAUGGGAAAAUGGUGUCUUCACUUGUUUUGCUGCAACAUGCUUGAAUUGAUAUGGUGUAUUGUUGAUGCUCAUGAAUUUGUCCUCAAGGUGAUGCACUCGAUAUGCUGAGGUUUCCUUAUGUUUCACUAUGAUC